ACUAAAGAGCAGUCAACAUAUUCAAGCUAAAACCCAGCAUAGUGCAUUACUGGUAAACAGUCAUAUUGGAAUAUCACUAGGCUGCAUUUUCUUGUUGCUCUUGAACUAUCAAGAUGUGGUUUAGCUAAUUGCCUGCUAACUUUAAUUAUGUGACAACUUGAUUGUGUAAAAUACAGAUAAAUGAAGAAUUCAAAAGAAAAACCACUGUAAGUCUUGAAUCUAAAUUUAGGGCCAAACUUGAUGCUUGCACCUCCAAAUUAAUGGAUGUAGUCUCAUCGAGGGGAGGAACUUCAGGAUUGAGGAUAAGGCAUGUUAAGAAUCAGCUUCUAGAGAACAAUGCAAUUGAAGUACGGAGAGAAGUGGCCAUUCGUUGACUGGUUGUCUACCUUGGAGAAAAGGAACAGGACCUCUUCAAGGAGUUUAAUGAUAUUGAAGAGUUUGAAGCAAACCUUGACAGGCAAGUAUUGAACAUUGCCAUCAUCAAAGACCAGAAUCCAAACACUGGAACCAUCUUGAUUGAGGGAGCCAAAAUUCUGGAUGGUAUUGAUGUCCCAAGGUGCUGUGCUUUGCUCAUGGGUUUAAUAUAUGCUCUGAAUCUGAGCUAUCCCAAGGAUCUAAAAUGUACAUACAAAGUAUUUCAGAAACUGUUCCUUGAACUUGAUGGACUAAAAACCAGUGGAAAAGUAAUGAAUCUCAAGUACAGCAUUUUCUAAUAACACCUUUCUUUCAAACCACUGCCAAUUUUUUUUAACCCAUUUUAUUAUUUAAUCCAUAAACAGCUGUUUCAAUUGUAAACAUUUUCAGGUUUUGUUUUAAUUUUUUGUUAAUUAUGUGCUAUUGAAAACUUGUUCAUUAUGGUUUUGUAAUACUGUGUUCAAAGAAUGUUGCUCUUUUGUCCAAGAAUAUUCUUAGAUCAGAAUAGGUGCUGUUGUGUGUUUGUACCUCAUGAUCUAUGUAAGCACUUGGUUUUUUCAUAGUGAUGUUGCUAUAUUUUUCAAAAUGUUUUUGCAUCUUGCAAUAGAAGUCAGGUUUGACAAAUUUGGCAAUUGAAUAUUACAUUGCGGCCUAUAUUUUUGCUGCUGUAGUAUGGCUAUUUCUUAGUCAAAGUUUUUGAAAGAUGUUGAAAAAUGUAAAAAUGCAACAUUAUAUUUCCAAUAAAGUAAAUUUU